GACGAACGCUGGCGGCGUGCUUAACACAUGCAAGUCGAACGGAAAGGCCCCUUUGGGGGUCCUCGAGUGGCGCACGGGUGAGUAACACGUGAGUAACCUUCCCUUGACUUCGGGAUAACUUCAGGAAACUGGGGCUAAUACCGGAUAGGAAUCCUUGCUGCAUGGUGGGGGUUGGAAAGCUUCGGCGGUUUUGGAUGGACUCGCGGCUUAUCAGCUUGUUGGUGGGGUAGUGGCUUACCAAGGCUUUGACGGGUAGCCGGCCUGAGAGGGCGACCGGCCACAUUGGGACUGAGAUACGGCCCAGACUCCUACGGGAGGCAGCAGUGGGGAAUAUUGCACAAUGGGCGGAAGCCUGAUGCAGCAACGCCGCGUGCGGGAUGACGGCCUUCGGGUUGGAAACCGCUUUCAGCAGGGGCGAAGCUUGUGGUGACGGUACCUGCAGAAGAAGCACCGGCUAACUACGUG
rnacentral:rRNA from 1 species